GUGGGUUUAGCACAGUGGUAGUUGCGAGAGAUUGCAAUCCAACGGGCACACCACCUGUAGGUUCGGAAAUCAUCUCUAGGUCCCCGGUUCGACCCCGGGAACUCACU